rnacentral:rRNA from 1 species
GACGAACGCUGGCGGCGUGCCUAAUACAUGCAAGUCGAACGCAGUGGGGACGGGUGAGUAACACGUGGGUAACCUCCCAUCAGAGGGGAUAACACUUGGAAACAGGUGCUAAACCGAUACUGAUGGAUGGACCCGCGGUGCAUUAGCUAGUUGGUGAGGUAACGGCUCACCAAGGCCACGAUGCAUAGCCUCCCUGAGAGGGUGAUCGGCCACAGUGGGACUGAACCACGGCCCAGAUUCCUCCGGGAGGCACCAGUGGGGAUGAUUGGGCAAGGGACGAAAGUCUUACCGAGCAACGCCGCGUGAGUGAAGAAGGUUUUCGGAUCGUAAAACUCUGUUGUUAGAGAAGCGUUAUCUAACCAGAAAGCCACGGCUAACUACGUGCCAGCAGCCGCGGUAAUUC